AGGACGAACGCUGGCGGCGUGCUUAACACAUGCAAGUGGGGCGACGAACCAGGCUUCGGCCUGGGGCAAAGCCGCGAACGGGUGAGUAACACGUGGAUAACCUGCCCCGAAGACCGGGACAACCCGGGGGAAACCCGAGCUAAUACCGGAUGUGGUCACCGUCCAUAAGGACGAUGAGCAAAGGAAGCUUCGGCCUCCGCUUCGGGGAGGGUCCGCGGCCCAUUAGCUUGUUGGUGAGGUAACGGCUCACCAAGGCAACGAUGGGUAGCUGGUCUGAGAGGACGAUCAGCCACACUGGGACUGAGACACGGCCCAGACUCCUACGGGAGGCAGCAGUGGGGAAUCUUGCGCAAUGCGCGAAAGCGUGACGCAGCAACGCCGCGUGGGUGAAGAAGGCUUUCGGGUACGUAAAACCCUUUCAGGCGGGACGAAGCUUCGGCAGCGAAUAGCGUGUCCGGAGUCGACGGUACCCGCGAAGAAGAACGCCCCGGACUAACCGUACGUGCCAAGCACGCCGAC
rnacentral:rRNA from 1 species